rnacentral:lncRNA from 1 species
CCCAUUUCGCCCAAGCCCAUACAAGAACCAAAAAACCAAAAUAUAAAAAAAAUAGUAAAAAUAAAAUAAGGUCCAAUGUCCAUUUACAUUUAUUAGCCCACAUCCCUAACAAAAUUAAUAGCCAAAACCCGAAACCCUAAUUGAAACCCAGCCCAAUUACUAAAUAAACCAAAUCCUAGUCCAAAUAUUUAACCCAAUUGAAACCUAACACAGGUGGCCCAAUUUUCGGUUUCAGGGACUGAAACCCUAAUACCAACAUUGCAGCCUCCUCAGCGAGGGUCUCCAGUGCCACAGAGUCCGGAACUUCCUCCACGUCACCCCCACGAACGGCUUAGCCAUGUCAGCAGCACCACGGCCUCCAUACCUACAAUAGACUAACAAACAAAAAGAGAAAGCAGCAGUUGACAGCAAAUUAUAGCAAAAAUUAGAUUUUUUCUCUUUAUUUUUUCGGCUAUAAAAAGGGAUAGAAUAAAAUGUAUAGGGAUCUUUUUUUUCCUUCUUUUUUUACGAAUAUAAUAGCAAAGGAUACACAUAUUGUAAAAAACAUAGAGAGCAAUCCAAAAUCAGUUCUUAAAAGGUGAUUUUAGAUUUAACUUUUCUGGAUCUCAUGCUUCCUUUUGGAUGCUAUUUCCUUUAUUCUUUUUCAUUAUGGUUUUAAAGCAUUUGAAAAUAAAAAAUUAAAGAGAUUCCUUACCAAAUGCCGUGGAAUCCUUUUGCUUCGUCGAAAUUGAGGCGUAGAGGGAACCUAAGGCUGAGCAACCUAAAGGCUAGUCGCUGUUAUGGUGGUGGAUCGGCGUUCAGAAGGAAAGGUUAAGGUCGGCCAAGGAGAGAAGUUAGGAGAAAAUAAAAGGGGCUAGGGUUAUUUUAGAAAUGGC